rnacentral:misc_RNA from 1 species
AAGUCGUAACAAGGUUUCCGUAGGUGAACCUGCGGAAGGAUCAUUAAUGAAUUUGGGUGCUCUUCGAGAGGCCCGACCUUCAUUCUUCCACCCUGUGAACUAUUUUUUGUAGUUGAGGAGAGGUAGCAAUACCUUUUUCUCGUUAUACAACUACAAUCAUUUUUAAACUCUAAUAAGUCAAAGAAUGUUAUAAAUUAUAAACUAAAUAAAACUUUCAACAACGGAUCUCUUGGCUCUC